GAGGCAGAGGGAAUGAAAUGGAGAAGCAGCCAAGAGUCUUUAUUGUGGUUUCUGCAGGAAAGAGCCAUCAGGAAGGGAAUUAGCUAGCCCUGGGAAAGACAGUCCCUCCAGAGUUAGCAACACCCCAAGAUGUCAAAGAUAAAAAUGCAAAAAUUAAAACUCCAUGAUUAACACAACUUUGAAGUCCUUCUCACUUGUCUUUAGAUGAAGGGCAACAUCAUUGCAACAAGUCACACUUUGAGAACUCAAGAGAAUAUGUUUGUUCUGAAAAUCCAGGAAUUAUUGCCAACCCAUGGUUGUCUCCAUAUGUCUUGGGAAAAAUAGGAAAAGGAUUUUUUGAGUUGGUGAUUUGAAUCCAAGACACAAAGAUUCAGGCUCUGGUAAAAAGAUUGUAUAGGCUAUAUUGGCUGACAUAAAAGAGACAUAAAAGGCACACAAUGAAAUCUUAAUAAAUGUAUUGGAUGUUGCAGCAUUAACUGAUGAGCCAGACAAUGUAAAGACCUCAGACUACCAAAUGUUUUGAAAGACGAAUAGUGAAUGUGAAACUGUGAACCAAAAUAGAUUUUUAGAAUCCUUGAAAAAAUAGAGCUAGAGAAAGUCUUUGAGACCAUUGAUUGCAAAUAUUUGAGUUUACAACUGAGCAAAUGGAGAAAAGAGAAGUGACUCGUCAGUCCAACAAGUGGCAGAAUCAGAACCAGACCCCAAUGCUUGGGUCUUCUGUCCCUCCUGGCACCAAAGUCACCUAUCAUAAGUAACUUGAGUUUCAGAGGGGAAGGAAAAGACUACAAUGUCCCAGCACUGUUCCAGACACUUUUUAGGGGACUCCAAGACACCUUGUGUAAUGCCUAUUUUAAGUAGCUGGAAGAUUCUAUAGCAUGGGAAAAGCCCACUGAAGGCAAAAGUAAACAUUACCUAUUGUGGUCCUGGAAAAGAAAAUCAUCUCUCAUUUAUCUCCUGGAGCUGUUUGACGAACUUGUGCCCUGGUUUUACUUUGGGAGCCACCUUUCUCUUUCAGGUGCUGUCUCAGUGGAAUAGUCAACCAAUGUAUCCUACAUUUUGGACCAGCAGAAGGAAGUAAUGAGAACAGAAAACAAAUAAGAAGUGAGUUGGAGGGAGAAGGAGACUUUAGCAUCUUCCUGAAAUCAGGAAGAAAGUUUCAAGAAUAAAGUAAUCCAUAGGGUCAAAUACUGCAGUAAGUUUAAUUAGGAUGAAGACUGCAAAGAUGGUAUUAGUUUGGUACUUAGGACAUUGGUGACCUCCACAGGUGACUUUCAGGAGAAUUAUCUGGGGAACUUGUUGAUAGAAUUUGUGAAUCUCCACCUUUAGGGAUUCUGAUUUAGAAGGAGUAGGAAGAAGGCCUUAGGAUCUCCAUUUAUAACAACCACUACUGAUUAUUUUGAGGCAGGUAGCAUACAGACCACAUUUGAAAGAAACACUAGGUAAGUGUGAUUUUCAUUCAAAGGACAAAAAACAUAAAGUUACCUAAUUCAGGGACCAUUUCAAAGACCAAAUCAAAUCAGUAGCCUGGCUGAUCUGAUCGACUGCGCAGAAACUAGCCAUUACCAUGGCAAAGUGGGGAGGAACAGUCAAUAAAAAGCAAUUGAUGGCCAGGCGCGGUGGCUCACGCCUGUAAUCCCAGCACUUUGGGAGGCCAAGGCGGGCGGAUCACGAGG
rnacentral:lncRNA from 1 species